rnacentral:lncRNA from 1 species
CGCAGACUACAGAACUAGCAGCGGCGGCGCAGGCGACGGCGGCAGGCGGCAGCGACCGGUCGGGGGAAGCUCCGAUAGGGUCAGGGCGACGUCGGCAGGGAAUAAGGAGCAAUGCGACCUCGACUAGGGCUCCAAUCCGAGAAGAAAAGAGAGAGAGAGAUGGAGAGAGAGAUGGAACCUCCUUCUCCGGCGACCGGCAGCGUGCGCCGGCGGCUGGGGAGCGC